AAAAACAUCGCCUCUUGAACCCUAUAAGAGGUCCAGCCUGCCCAGUGACUCUGUUCAACGGCCGCGGUAUCCUAACCGUGCGAAGGUAGCGUAAUCACUUGUUCUUUAAAUGUGGACUAGUAUGAAUGGCACCACGAAGGUUAUACUGUCUCCUUUUUCUAAUCAGUGAAACUAAUCUCCCCGUGAAGAAGCGGGGAUAAAAUUAUAAGACGAGAAGACCCUAUGGAGCUUUAAACAACACAGCACUUGCCACACAUUAUUAAAAUUUCAGAAUCUUUAACUACCCUAAGCAACAUGACUGUGAGUUUUUGGUUGGGGUGACCGCGGAGCAUAACACAACCUCCAUGUUGAAAGAAUCUUUUUUUAAACUAAGAACUACAACUCUAAGCAUCAAUACAUUGACAUCCAUUGACCCAAUAUACUUGAACAACGAACCAAGUUACCCUAGGGAUAACAGCGCAAUCCACUUCAAGAGCUCCUAUCGACAAGUGGGUUUACGACCUCGAUGUUGGAUCAGGGUUUCCCAGUGGUGCAGCCGCUACUAAAGGUUCGUUUGUUCAACGAUUAAAACCCUACGUGAUCUGA
rnacentral:rRNA from 1 species